rnacentral:rRNA from 1 species
UACGUAGGGUGCAAGCGUUAAUCGGAAUUACUGGGCGUAAAGCGUGCGCAGGCGGUUGUGCAAGACCGAUGUGAAAUCCCCGGGCUCAACCUGGGAACUGCAUUGGUGACUGCACGGCUAGAGUGCGUCAGAGGGGGGUAGAAUUCCACGUGUAGCAGUGAAAUGCGUAGAGAUGUGGAGGAAUACCGAUGGCGAAGGCAGCCCCCCUGGGAUGAC